CAAUAUUUUCAGUGGAUAAAUCUGUUUCUCACACAGAGCUGAUUCAUUCAUUCAUUCUUUAGACCAGGGGUGCCCAACCCUGCUCCUGGCGAUCGACUGUCCUGCAAAGAUUAGCUCCAACUCUAAUCAAAGACACCUGCCUUUAAUUUUUAAGUGAUCCUGAAGACCCUAAUUAGUUGCUUCGGGUGUGUUUGAUUAGGGUUGGAGCUGAACUUUGCAGGACAGUCGAUCGCCACGAGCAGGGUUGGGCACCCCUGCUUUAGACUAUAAAAAAAUGCUGAUAAUAUGUAAUGGAGAGUUGACUCUGAUGAUAUCACUCAAAAAAGUGGUUCUCUCUGCUGGGCUACGGUGGUGUUUCUUCAGCCUAUUAAAGCUCCAGAUGCUGGGUGUGAAGUUCAGCUCUGUGGCUUUGUUCUUUGAAUCAGCAGAACUGGGGAACGGUUUGAUGACUUUUUCAAUAUAAAGAAAUAAGGCCUCUGAAUCCUAUAAAAGAACCUUUUGGAAUUUUAAGUCAAAAUUCAACACUAAUACUGCUGUGGCUUGUAAUUGCAUGGUCUGCUUAUGUCAUAUGGUGCACUUGAUUUGUAGCUUUAUGAAGACACUGCGGCCCCACCACAGUGUAUAAGGCAGAGUUCAUGAUGGCGUCACUGUGGGAUCAGACUCAAUGGGAGAGGAUGAUACCCUCAAUAAACCCGUCCAGGUGAAAGUUGUAAAAGUCCCGGGAAUGCUACAGCAGCGUGCUGCGAGAACCAUCAGAGACGGAGAAAACCCUUUAUGGGAGAAGCGCGGCUCCAGAGCAGGAGCUCCGGGAGAUCUGGGAACGUGCUAUCUGCAGGGCCCGACAGCGGAUACGGGCCCUGGGCUGUGA
rnacentral:lncRNA from 1 species